rnacentral:misc_RNA from 1 species
UUUCCGUAGGUGAACCUGCGGAAGGAUCAUUAAUGUGUUUGGGCCUCACGGCUCUUCAUUCCGACGCUGUGCGCCUUCGGGCUGCACGCUGAGGGAGCAUAUAUCCACCCCUGUGCACACACACUGUGGCGAGCUGGGUAACGGCUCGCCGCUGAUCUUUACACACGUCUAAAAGUCAUUGUAUGUUUAUUUGAGAUAAAAACACAACUUUCAGCAACGGAUCUCUUGGCUCUC